GUUCUCACUUCAGCAGCACAUAUACUAAUACUGGAAUGAUACAGAGAAGAUUACCAUGGCCCCUGCUUAUGAAUGACACACAAAUACAUGAAGUGUUCCUUAUUUUC